CCUACGGGAGGCAGCAGUGGGGAAUAUUGGACAAUGGGGGCAACCCUGAUCCAGCGACGCCGCGUGUGUGAAGAAGGCCUGCGGGUUGUAAAGCACUUUUAGUGGGGAGGAAGGCCCUCGACCUAAUACGUCGGAGGAUUGACUUAACCCACAGAAAAAGCCACCGGCUAACUCUGUGCC
rnacentral:rRNA from 1 species